CCUACGGGUGACUGCAGUGAGGAAUAUUGGUCAAUGGCCGCAGGGCUGAACCAGCCAAGUCGCGUGAGGGAUGACGGUCCUAUGGAUUGUAAACCUCUUUUGUCAGGGAGCAAAGGGCGCCACGUGUGGCGCUUUGCGAGUACCUGAAGAAAAAGCAUCGGCUAACUCCGUGCCAGCAGCCGCGGUAAUACGGAGGAUGCGAGCGUUAUCCGGAUUUAUUGGGUUUAAAGGGUGCGCAGGCGGAAUGUCAAGUCAGCGGUAAAAUUUCGGGGCUCAACCCCGUCGUGCCGUUGAAACUGGCGUUCUUGAGUGAGCGAGAAGUAUGCGGAAUGCGUGGUGUAGCGGUGAAAUGCAUAGAUAUCACGCAGAACUCCGAUUGCGAAGGCAGCAUACCGGCGCUCAACUGACGCUCAUGCACGAAAGCGUGGGUAUCGAACAGGAUUAGAUACCCCGGUAGUC
rnacentral:rRNA from 1 species